rnacentral:tRNA from 1 species
GCGGGCUUGCUCUCGGUGAGUUAAGAGGCUUCCAAUCUCCCAAGGCCGGUUCGAUCCCGGCAGUCCGCUCCA